UGGGGAAUAUUGGACAAUGGGCGAAAGCCUGAUCCAGCCAUGCCGCGUGUGUGAAGAAGGUCUUCGGAUUGUAAAGCACUUUAAGUUGGGAGGAAGGGCAUUAACCUAAUACGUUAGUGUUUUGACGUUACCGACAGAAUAAGCACCGGCUAACUCUGUGCCAGCAGCCGCGGUAAUACAGAGGGUGCAAGAGGUAAUCGGAAUUACUGGGCGUAAAGCGCGCGUAGGUGGUUUGUUAAGUUGGAUGUGAAAUCCCCGGGCUCAACCUGGGAACUGCAUUCAAAACUGACUGACUAGAGUAUGGUAGAGGGUGGUGGAAUUUCCUGUGUAGCGGUGAAAUGCGUAGAUAUAGGAAGGAACACCAGUGGCGAAGGCGACCACCUGGACUAAUACUGACACUGAGGUGCGAAAGCGUGGGGAGCAAACA
rnacentral:rRNA from 1 species